CUGACUGCUAUCGGAUUGGUACUAAGCCAUGUGAGUCGUUGUAGCAAUACAAGGCAUACGGCUCAGUAACACGUAGUCAAUCUAACCUAUGGACGGGGAUAACCUCGGGAAACUGAGGAUAAUACCCGAUAGAUCAUAAUGCCUGGAACGGUUUAUGGUCCAAAUGAUUCGUCGCCGUAGGGCGGGACUGCGGCCUAUCAGCUUGUUGGUGAGGUAAUGGCCCACCAAGGCUAUUACAGGUACGGGCUCUGAGAGGAGUAGCCCGGAGAUGGGUACUGAGACACGGACCCAGGCCCUAUGGGGCGCAGCAGGCGAGAAACCUUUGCAAUGUGCGCAAGCACGACAAGGUUAAUCCGAGUGUUUCCUGCUAAAGGAAUCUUUUGUUAGUCGUAAAACCACUAUUGAAUAAGGGGUGGGCAAGUUCUGGUGUCAGCCGCCGCGGUAAAACCAGCACCUCAAGUGGUCAGGAUGAUUAUUGGGCCUAAAGCAUCCGUAGCCUGUUCUGAAAGUUUCCGGUUAAAUCCAUUAACUCAACUAAUGGGCUGCCGAAAAUACUGCAGAACUAGGGAGUGGGAGAGGUAGACGGUACUCGGUAGGAAGGGGUAAAAUCCUUUGAUCUAUUGAUGACCACCUGUGGCGAAGGCGGUCUACCAGAACACGUUCGACGGUGAGGGAUGAAAGCGGGGGGAGCAAACCGGAUUAGAUACCCGGGUAGUCCCAGCUGUAAACGAUGCAAACCCGGUGAUGCCCUGGCUUGUGGCCAGUGCAGUGCCGCAGGGAAGCCGUUAAGUUUGCCGCCUGGGAAGUACGUACGCAAGUAUGAAAC
rnacentral:rRNA from 1 species